rnacentral:rRNA from 1 species
AUUGAACGCUGGCGGCAUGCUUUACACAUGCAAGUCGAGCGGACAGCGCGGGGGCAACCCUGGCGGCGAGCGGCGAACGGGUGAGUAAUAGAUAGGAACGUGUCCGGGAGUGGGGGAUAACUAGCCGAAAGGUUAGCUAAUACCGCAUAUUCUGUGCGCAGGAAAGCGGGGACUGAGAGGGCCUCGCGCUUCUGGAGUGGCCUAUCUCCGAUUAGCUAGUUGGUGAGGUAAAGGCUUACCAAGCGACGAUCGGUAGCUGGUCUGAGAGGAUGAUCAGCCACACUGGGACUGAGACACGGCCCAGACU